rnacentral:rRNA from 1 species
UACGAAGGGGGCUAGCGUUGCUCGGAAUCACUGGGCGUAAAGCGCACGUAGGCGGCUUUUUAAGUCAGGGGUGAAAUCCCGGAGCUCAACUCCGGAACUGCCUUUGAUACUGAAGAGCUUGAGUUCGGGAGAGGUGAGUGGAACUGCGAGUGUAGAGGUGAAAAUUCGUAGAUAUUCGCAAGAACACCAGUGGCGAAGGCGGCUCACUGGCCCGAUACUGACGCUGAGGUGCGAAAGCGUGGGGAGCAAACAGGG